rnacentral:rRNA from 1 species
UGCAAGUCGAACGAGAAAGCCCGCAAGGGUGAGUAAAGUGGCGUACGGGUGAGUAACACGUGGGUAAUCUACCUCCGGGUGGGGAAUAACUUUGGGAAACCGAAGCUAAUACCGCAUAACACUGAAAGGUCAAAGGCGCAAGUCGCCUGGAGAGGAGCCCGCGGCUGAUUAGCUAGUUGGUGAGGUAAAAGCUUACCAAGGCGAUGAUCGGUAGCCGGCCUGAGAGGGCACACGGCCACACUGGCACUGAAACACGGGCCAGACUCCUACGGGAGGCAGCAGUGGGGAAUCUUGCACAAUGGGGGCAACCCUGAUGCAGCGACGCCGCGUGAGCGAUGAAGCCCUUCGGGGUGUAAAGCUCUUUCGACCGGAACGAUAAUGACGGUACCGGGAGAAGAAGCUGCGGCUAACUACGUGCCAGCAGCCGCGGUAAUACGUAGGCAGCGAGCGUUGUUCGGAGUUACUGGGCGUAAAGAGUGCGUAGGCGGUUCCAUAAGUCUGUUGUGAAAUCUCCCGGCUCAACCGGGAGGGUGCGGUGGAAACUGUGGGACUUCGAGUGUGGGAGAGGUAAGCGGAAUUCCUGGUGUAGCGGUGAAAUGCGUAGAUAUCAGGAGGAACACCUGUGGUGUAGACAGCUUGCUGGACCAUAACUGACGCUGAGGCACGAAAGCGUGGGUAGCAAACAGGAUUAGAUACCCUGGUAGUCCACGCCCUAAACGAUGCAUACUUGGUGUGGGCAGUUCAUUCUGUCCGUGCCGGAGCUAACGCGUUAAGUAUGCCGCCUGGGGAGUACGGUCGCAAGGUUAAACUCAAAGAAUUGACGGGGGCCCGCACAAGCGGUGGAGUAUGUGG